rnacentral:rRNA from 1 species
UGGGGAAUAUUGGACAAUGGGGGCAACCCUGAUCCAGCAAUGCCGCGUGUGUGAAGAAGGUCUUCGGAUUGUAAAGCACUUUCGACGGGGACGAUGAUGACGGUACCCGUAGAAGAAGCCCCGGCUAACUUCGUGCCAGCAGCCGCGGUAAUACGAAGGGGGCUAGCGUUGCUCGGAAUGACUGGGCGUAAAGGGCGUGUAGGCGGUUUACACAGUCAGAUGUGAAAUCCCCGGGCUUAACCUGGGAGCUGCAUUUGAUACGUGUAGACUAGAGUGUGAGAGAGGGUUGUGGAAUUCCCAGUGUAGAGGUGAAAUUCGUAGAUAUUGGGAAGAACACCGGUGGCGAAGGCGGCAACCUGGCUCAUGACUGACGCUGAGGCGCGAAAGCGUGGGGAGCAAACAGGAUUAGAUA